GGCGGAUUCUCGACAUUCACCUGGCGCGUUGUGGAACGACUGCGAGCGGACGAGCGGUCGCCCGGGCGAAGUCGCGUUUGGGGCGAAGACGUCGCCGUCGGCGCACGGAGAUUCUCCGUCAUCCAGGACACUGUAAAGCGCAGAAGCUCGAUCAAGGUAAGUGGAUGAUCGAUACCUCUUGGGAGUCAAAUCUUGGUAAAUUAGGCUACUAGACUUACGACAUCAUUAAACGACGCCAGAUUGAAAAGCGAACAUGAAAGGCUGUAGCGCAGCAGUUCACAUGUGCUACCAGUUAACCCGCAGCGUCAACAUGUUUAAGGAGCACCGAGGGGGGGCGGCGCCGCGUAUGAUUACAUAACUCGUACAAACAGUGGUUUGAUAAAAUGGCUGUUACUUAAGUUAAUUAGCAGCAGUCGUGGAAACCACAAGCUCGUCCACCCCUGGUUGUGUAAUCGCAACGGUUUUCAAAAAAAAAAAACGGGAGUCGGGACGGGGGUAUUACAGGUUUUGAGUCCCGUCACCACCAAUCCAUACAAGCACUUCAACACUGCGAUGACGCCACACGGACAAAGACAUUUCUUGUGCUUCCUCCGUGUUCCCUGAAAGGAGCAAUUUAGGAGCUUAGCGGAAACAUCUCGGGAGACUUUGCCGCCAUGAAUCACGCAUUCAGGAUGAAUUCAAGGGGGAACAUAGUGUGUGUGUUUGCGUUUGGAAUUGAGUUGAGGAUACCCGCAAACCAAACCUGCCAACCCCUCUCCCACUCCACUACCUAUCCGUGAGUCUCUCAAAUGUCAGGGGAGCCUUUUUGGAGCUGGGGGGGCAGCUCUGAGAGAUAAAAAUCAGCUUACAGGCGGGAGGUUGUAGCCGACACGUACAGUAGUAACACACACACACACACAAACUCACUCGCACAGGUUGUUGUUGAGCAAUGGCGUGUUUAGAACUUCUAACUUAAUCUAAUUAGACCUCCUUAAAGCACGACAUGGGCGAGCCGUUUGAGCGUCGUGGUGGGUGAUUAAUCGAUUUUAUCAGUUAAUUUGAAUGUAUUUAUCAGGACUGAGAUUUCAGAGUUCAAAGCACAACACCACGAGGGGGG